UCAAUACGCCAGUUAUUUGACUUGGAUGCAAACACCAUGAGUCGUCGUCCCUUGAUUAUAUCAGCACGAGUACAACCUUUUGAUGUUGAUACUACUUCAAGAUACGAUGUUGCUUCUUUGAGUCAAUAUCUGAACUUUGCCAAUCUUGCAUCAUUCAACUUUAACAGAGACAAUACAUAUACUAUUGUUCAUGGAAGUGCACUCGAUGCUGAUAAUUCACAUUCAUUCACAAAGAUUUUGAAUGUGAAAACAUCCAUAAACGUGUGGCUUAAUGCUGGUUUACCUAUAAACAAACUGGUAAUUGGAAUACCUGCUUAUGGUAAUACAUACGAUACUUUACCGGGGACACACAUGGUAGGAGCUACUGCAUUUGGACUAGGAAAGGAGGGGCAGUGGAGCCUUCAGGAAGGAAAACUGGGCUAUUA